UUCACAGCACUGAAGACAUAAGUCCUUUGUUUAUUUGUAGAAGCGGCCCCACACAGCAUCCAACAGCUCAGGCUUUCUUGCACUGUUCUGCCAAUGUACCUCAAUCCUGAUCUAGACGGACCACCUCUAGGGAUAAGGUAGUUCAAUUCAUAAACUGAGCUUCCCUCUCUACU
rnacentral:sRNA from 1 species